GUCAGGAAGCCUUAGAAAAAAAUCAUAGUAAAUUUAAUUGGCUUCUUUUUCCCAUAAAGUUUAUAUUAAAAAUAAUUAUCUAAUUUUUUUAAGGUAAAAAAAAAAAAAUAAAAAUCUAUUUGAUUUAUUUCUCAUGGAAAAAUUUUUUUCAUAGAUUUUUUCAAGAUUUCCUGUGCAUUUUUGUUUGUUAAACAAAAUAUAUUUCAGAUUCCGUUUUGUAAACGGAAAUAAAACUUUAUUGAACUUUCUUACUUAGACUACACACUCCCGUUGAAAAAACUUAAAAACACCGAGCGAUUAAUAAUCGGUAGCCAAUUAAAAACUUGUCAUCAACACAACAAAAAGGCAUCAGGCCCCCUACCACCGUUGCUGGUAGGUCUGCCGCGAUCAGCUUUGCUCGCAUGAGCUCGAAAGAGCCGCUGCCGUCUGCCCCUGAAGUCAUCAGCCGCCGUCAGCAAACAGCACCGGAUUGUGAAGAUUGUGACUUUCGUGAGUGUAUAAAAGCGCGCCUUAAUUAAUUCGAUUUUUACGCUCGUGAUUGAUUUCGAUUGAUAUUCUUGGACGUGCGAUGACUUCGUACGUCUCAGACGAUGAAGAUGGUGUGCCAGCAGUUAUUGGUUGAACGGCGCCCCGCAAUUGGAGAAUAGAUUAAAACGAUAAGGGAUUUUUGUUUUUUUCGUGUAAACUACAACUACUUAAAAAUAAUAAUUAUCCCUAAGAUUCCAAAUUCCAAAUCGAACUAAUCAUAAUCGAAAUUUAAAAAAAAAAUUAUGUCUAGUCAGCAAAAGGAAGUGAGAAUAUUUUUAAUAUACAUUUUCAAAAGGUAAGAGUUAAAAAAAAAUAAUAACGAAAUGAAGAUAUUUUUUAUACUUACAAAAACCAAUCUAAAAAUAGAUAAAAUUUGCAUGCCAUCAAAAACAAUGAUAUAAGAUAAAAAUUUAUGAACUUUUUUCUCAGCUCUUCUUUCGAGGGCCGAGACCAAAUUUAUACGUAAGAAAGCAAUAAUUGCGGAUUAAGAACAAAUAUGAAUGAUUUCUUACCUUACUUAAAUCAUAAAAUGCAAAAUCAUCGGCAGAUGGAGGGAUCGAAAUAAGGCGCAUGGCGACCAAGUGGUUAUAGUAAAUGAAGUUUUGGACGAAAGUGAUCACUUUUUUCUAUCUGUGAUUACAAAAUCGGGAGAACUUGGCCAAGUUCCGGAAGUUCUCAUAUCAUCGGAG